rnacentral:rRNA from 1 species
UACGUAGGUGGCAAGCGUUGUCCGGAUUUACUGGGCGUAAAGGGCGUGCAGGCGGUUUGUUAAGUGCAGGGUGAAAGCUCCCGGCUCAACUGGGAGAGGUCCUUGCAUACUGGCAAACUCGAGGGAGGCAGAGGAAAGUGGAAUUCCCGGUGUAGUGGUGAUAUGCGUAGAUAUCUGGAGGAACACCGGUGGCGAAGGCGGCGUUCUGGACUGCAACUGACACUGAUGAACGAAAGCCAGGGGAGCAAACGGG